rnacentral:rRNA from 1 species
AUUGAACGCUGGCGGCAUGCCUACACAUGCAAGUCGAACGGCAGCACGGAGCUUGCUCUGGUGGCGAGUGGCGAACGGGUGAGUAAUAUAUCGGAACGUACCCAAGAGUGGGGGAUAACGUAGCGAAAGUUACGCUAAUACCGCAUACGAUCUAAGGAUGAAAGUGGGGGAUCGCAAGACCUCAUGCUCCUGGAGCGGCCGAUAUCUGAUUAGCUAGUUGGUGAGGUAAAGGCUCACAAAGGCAUCGAUCAGUAGCUGGUCUGAGAGGACGACCAGCCACACUGGAACUGAGACACGGUCCAGACUCCUACGGGAGGCAGCAGUGGGGAAUUUUGGACAAUGGGGGCAACCCUGAUCCAGCAAUGCCGCGUGAGUGAAGAAGGCCUUCGGGUUGUAAAGCUCUUUUGUCAGGGAAGAAACGGUGAAGGCUAAUAUCCUUUGCUAAUGACGGUACCUGAAGAAUAAGCACCGGCUAACUACGUGCCAGCCGCCGCCGUAACAC